UCUUAGGGUUCGCCGCGGAUCGCCCCAGUGAGUGUCCCUACGAAAACGCUCCGUCCGGUGAGACUUCCGGUGGUGCUCCCGACGGAUUCAGAGCGUGCCCUCCAUCCUCGGGGAGCCCCAUCACAGCACACGCAAGCCAUACCUGGGAACCCCGUCAUGGUCCGCCGUGCAUCCCCAAGACCUCGGUCUGCAAAGCCCCGAGAAGAAGCUUGGAUGUCAAUCCUAUUGAGCUGGCAGAACUAAGGCGUGCAGCUGGGGAGGAAGUCUUGACCCCUGGAAAUGACCCCUGCCCCCUGCCUUAGAGUUCCCUCCAUGGCUCAGCGUGAUGCAGGGAUGGGGUUGGGGAGGAAGACUCUGGGGCUUUAAGACUCUGGCCCUUACCCUAGAUCAACAGGUGACUACAGAUGACAGCUGUUGACCGAGGCUCCUCUCUACCGGACCUGAGCUAACACAUCUACCACCCACCUUAUCUCCGUUCAUCCUUACAGCAAACCUUUGAGCUAGGCACUAUUAUAGCACCGUGUUACAGACGGGGGAACCUGAGGCCCAGAGAGGGCUCCGCGGCCCACCCCUUGCUCCUGCUGAAGCCCCAGGACCCCAGAAGGAAGAUGGGAGACCUCGAAGCCCUGUGAUGCGGUGCCACGCCGUCCUCCCAGCUGUCUCCAUCAGCACAUUCGGGGGACCAAGGCUUGAGCCAGCCAAGUCUCCCCUCCAGCACCUCGAGGGGCCGGAAGAGGGCCCCUCCUCUCUGGACAGAGCCUGCACAACAGCCUGAUUGCUUUUCACACUGGUUGGGCAGGGGCAGCGAGACCCUCCUGUCUGGGAGUGUGGAAGGAGUGCGUGUGAGUGUGUGGAAGUGUGUUUUGAGCGACGGACAAGAUCCCUGCCCUUCUGAAGCUUUCAGUCGAGUGGGGGAGACAGGAACAAGCAAGGAGCAGUACGAGAUCGGGUUAUCCUCGUUCAGCUGUAAGCGCUGGGAAGGCACUAGGCUGAUGGCAUGGCGAGUGCCCAGAGGUGGCUGCUUCAGACACGUGGCCAGGGAAGGCCUCCUGAAGAGUGACGUUCCAGCUGAGCUCUAACUGCUGCAGCGAGGUCUGCAGGAAAGGGCUCUAGACAGGGAGACUGACGGGGCAAAGGCCCUGCAGUGGGCUGAGCUUGGCAUGCUUGGAGAACAGCAAGAAGCGUACAAGAGGGCAAGUCAUAGGGAACGAGGCCAGAUGGUAUUGAGACCAAAUUGGGCUUAGUAGGCCACUGGUAACAUUUUGGAUUUUACUCUGUUUGCAAAGGGAGGCUGUUUAGUCCUCACAGCAAACCCUAUGCGGUAGGAACUAUCCCCAUUUUACAGAUUUGGAAAACGAGGUUCAGAUGGCUUGAAUGACCCACCAAGGUCACACAGCUCAUACGUGGUGGAGUCUGGAAUGGAACCCAAGUCUGACUCUGCUGGGUUGUUCCUAAAGGCGCGGCCAGGUCUCUCAGUGCCCCCUCCCCUCCUCAGGUGUGAAAUCCAGGUCACUGGGCCGCAGAGAUCCUGGGGCCCAGCCCAAGCCUCCUGAAGCUACCAGGCUUCCCCAGGGAGGAGAACGACGGUUGGGAACCUGCUUCCCCCCUCAAGGACCCAGCUCCCCAGCCCAGAGCUGUGUGGCCUGAGAAGGUGAUUAAAGUUUUACAGCCAUCUUGAUUGCCCAGCGAUAGUGAAGGGCCCUGCUCUCCAGGAAAGGAUCCAUUUCCCCAGCUCUGCGUUCAUUCCACUCCUAAGUGCCUUCCUUCCCCAGGAGGCCCAGGGGAGACCGGCUCCCCAGGCAGCCACCACCCAGGCUGGACCCGAGCAACUCCCCCCACACACACACACGUGCACACCCAGGCUCCCUGGCUAGUAUUCUCCUUUUACAGUAGUUUUUGCAAGAUAACCGUUUCCUGCUCCUCAGUUUAGACUGGUCCUCCCCAUGCCCCAUCUCUUCCUUGGAAACAGAGUCCCCAGCCCCACCCUGCCCCCGCCUGGGCUUGGUCACCAAAGGGAACAGCAGCCAGAAUAUUAAUAGUAAGCACCGAAUCAGUAUGCUCGUAGCCAGCCCUGACGUACUUUUGUUGACCUUGUGAGGUAUUAUUAUCCCUAUUUUACAGAUGAGGAAACAGAGGCUCAGUGAAGUACAGGGGCCUGUCUAGGGUCAUAAACCUAGUGAGUGCAGAACCAGAAUUAGAACACCCAUCCUUUGGAUUCCAGAGUGAUGUGUGUGUGUGUGUGUACGUGUAUGUGUAUGUAUUUGUAUAUAUGUAUGGUAUGUAUGUGUAUAUAUAUAUGUAUACAUGUGUCUAUACGUAUUCUUUUGAAUUGACAGCACACAUGCACAAAUGGGCACAAAUCAUAAGUGUACAGUUUGGUGAAUUUUCACAAACUAGACAGCACCCAGAUCCCAAAACAGAACAUCCCAGCCCUGCAGAAGCCCCCAUCCAUGUCCCCAUCAGUCACUACCCACCUCCCACGGGUAGUCACUAUUCUGACUUCUA